GUGGGGAAUCUUCCGCAAUGGACGAAAGUCUGACGGAGCGACGCCGCGUGAGUGAUGAAGGCCUUCGGGUCGUAAAGCUCUGUCAUCGGGGACGAACGGCCUCAGCGGGUAAUGGCUGGGGAUUGACGGUACCCGAGAAGGAAGCCACGGCUAACUACGUGCCAGCAGCCGCGGUAAUACGUAGGUGGCAAGCGUUGUCCGGAAUUAUUGGGCGUAAAGCGCGCGCAGGUGGGAUCUUAAGUCCAUUUUGAAAGUUCGGAGCUCAACUCCGUGAUGGGAUGGAAACUGGGAUUCUUGAGUACCGGAGAGGAAAGCGGAAUUCCCCGUGUAGCGGUGAAAUGCGUAGAUAUGGGGAGGAACACCAGUGGCGAAGGCGGCUUUCUGGACGGUGUCUGACACUGAGGCGCGAAAGCCAGGGGAGCGAACGGGAUUAGAAACCCCAGUAGUCC
rnacentral:rRNA from 1 species